rnacentral:lncRNA from 1 species
CUGUGUGCCUGGCAGCGUGCAGCAAACAGCAGCCUGGUAGUUGUGGGUGUAUCAAGCGUGGAAGGAACCCGGGCGCUGGUUUUCGUCAGCCAGCCCAGCGGUGCACAGGAAGGAACUGGUCUGUUCCCUGGUCUGUUCAAAGAAACUUACCUCCAACAGAGAAUUGAUCAAAAUACUGCUACUUAACAAGUGGUGAAAGCCUGACACAUAACUUAGCAGUUCAUUUUCUGCCAAGCUUUACUGGACCAAUUGAGGUGGUUUUAUCAAUCUGGGGCUGGCAUAUAUUAACCCUCUCCUUGUCUUAUAAAUAUUCCUUACAGAUUUCUGCUUUUACUCAACCACUCUUUUUGAUCAGUGUAUUGAUCAAGCAGAAGCUUCCCUACAGCUUGGGAAUGGUGGGAUGACCAUGGGAUUUGUGGUCUUGGAUUUGUGGGUUGCAAUGUGUGAGAAUUGAGCUUGAACCAAGAAAAUACAUUAGAAGGACUGCGAGAUAGCCAGCAGCUGGGUAACAUUUGAUGACGAUUAUUCUGUAACUACUAUUCCUACGUAGGUGUGUUACUUUACUCAAACAUACAGUAAAUUAGUGAUUUACUCUAAACGCCUUCUUUCUGGACCUGUUUGUGUACCUGUUGAAGAGGUUAGGUGAGUGGGUGACUUAGGUUGGACUCAAAGUAAUGUGUUCCUGGCUUCUUUCCACUAAUCCAGAUAAUCCAACCUGACUAGAACCUACAGUGAGUGAGUUGUGGCUGGGGGUGUUCUGAUGGAGAGACUUUCAGAUUUAUAGUUGAGAAACAGACAAACAGUCUCACAGGAGGACAUCAGGAAAGAUGGAGAGGAGUUCAGGUCUUGUGUAGCUGAGGGGUGUGUGCGUGUCUGUGUGUGUGCUGUACAAGACUGUGUGUGUGUGUGUGUGUGUGUGUGUGUGUGUGUGUGUGUGUGUGCGCGCACGCAUGUAUAGCUCUGAGGGCUGUGUGUGUGUGUGUUUCUCAUUCUGCUUCAGGUCCCAUCCCUGUCAGUGUAAUGCUGGCUCUAUCCUGUCUGCUGUCAGCUCACAGCUCCAGUUUUACACCCCAGCUACAGCCCCGGAACAAACCCACUGUGUGUGUGUGUGUGUGUGUACACCUACUGAAAGGACCUGAGCCCUAGGACCAUGCCUCAGGACUACCUGGUAUGAUGACUCCUUGCUGUCCCCAGUCCACCUGGCUGUGCUGCUGCUCCAGUUUCAACUGUUCUGCCUGCGGCUAUGGAACCCUGACCUGUUCACCGGACGUGCUUGUUGCACCCUCGACAACUACUAUGAUUAUUAUUAUUUGACCAUGCUGGCCAUUUAUGAACAUUUUAACAUUUUAACAUUUUGACCAUGUUCUGUUAUAAUAUCCACCCUGCACAGCCAGAAGAGGACUGGCCACCCCUCAUAGCCUGGUUCCUCUCUAGGUUUCUUCCUAGGUUUUUGGCCUUUCUAGGGAGUUUUUCCUAGGGAGUUUUUCCUAGCCACCGUGCUUCUUUCACAUGCUUUGCUUGCUGUUUGGGGUUUUAGGCUGGGUUUCUGUACAGCACUUUGAGAAUAUCAGCUGAUGUACGAAGGGCUAUAUAAAAAUAAAUUUGAUUUGAUUUGAUUUGGUCUCAAAAAAGACCAGAAGCAACAUCCUCUAAGGCCA